rnacentral:pre_miRNA from 1 species
UAUAUUUUCAUAAAGGAAACUACUCACAAGGUUGCUGUCGAAGAGUUUUCAGCAGCCUUGUGAGUAGUUUCCUUUAUGAAAAAAACUUCCAUCU